rnacentral:lncRNA from 1 species
GUGAUGGGUCAAUCGAUGAGUGGAUAACUCUUGUCCAAUGAUUCUCUAAUCAUGGUGCAUCUAAAACUUGGUCUCUAAUUCAUGAAGCUCAUCAUGUUCGAAAUAUUGCUCCAAUCCUUAGUUAAGUCAGGCCCACCAUUUGCAUGAAUUAGAUUCCUAAUUGGGUCCCUCACCGUAUCCAAAAUAUUGAGCACAACCCAUCCUCUAAUCCGUAGCAUCCAAUGCCUAAUGGACAUGGUUGCAUCUUUCCGGUGCAACUGAGCCACUGUA